AACCAUCAGUGAUGCUUUUAAUGCCCAGUCCCAACUAAUUUUUUCCAGAUCUUAUGGUGACAUGCAAUUGUUAUUCAAGUCCCUUUGCUACCUCUGCAGUACUAUCUGAAGGCACCCUUUGGUUUCAACAAAAAUCAAUUUUCAGAAGUUUUGAUGACGAUGGGAAUAGGAUAAAUUGUUUCCCAGAUUCUGAUUCUUCCUCUCAUCAAUCCAUUUGUUGGAGAGAAACUGAUACUUUGCACAGCCUUACUUUCAUCAAUAGCCUAUGCAUUGUUUUAUGGCUUGGCAUAGGCUUCUUGGGUAUGUACUCUUAUAUAAUAAAUGUGUAGUUAACAUCAAUUUUGAAACUACAUUCUGGGUAAUUACAUGUUCCACCGUUAAACUUCCUCUUAACAUUUCACUUUAGUCUGUCAUUUCUAGUUGAGACGACAUACAUCAUUAUUGUAAUUUAGGUUCUAAUUCCUUGCAAAAAAAUACAAGAAAAUUUAUUUUCUCACGAAAGUUGCUAUAUGUUAUAACUUUCUCUCAAAAAAAAUCUUAACCAAACACAAACUAAAAAAAUAAAUUUUCGUUUGAGGUGUUGACGCCUCAAAAUCACCAAACGGCGUUGGAGUAGGACGAAACUUGGCAUGCACAAUUACCUAGGCACGAGAGACUUGUGGGAGAAGAUGGGACUCGAAUCGGAUUCCCGGUUUGGGAGUUAGAGCUGAAUUUCACUCUCGACAAACUAGUUUCUUAAAAAACCUAGAAAUCGAGGUGUUAACGCACCAAAAUCACCAAAUGGUGUCGGAGUAGCACAAACAUUUGCACACACAACCGCCUAGGCACGGGAGACUUGUGGGAGAA